GGAGAAUAUGGCGCGGCGGCCGGAAGUAGUGCCAACGCGUCCCACCAAUGUUGGGACGCUAUCCGGCCCUAAUUCAUCGGUCCCGUUGUAUGGUUGCUUCCUCACGAUCAGGUCAACGCCCAACCUAGUGAGCUCCUUUUAUGUCCAUCCUUAACUUGCACUGCGCUAGUUUAGUGUUGUGAGCAAUCAUAUUAUAUAUGUACCAAUGUAUAUAAGCAUGUAGUAUCUGCUUUGACAUUAUGUAACAACAAGUACAACUCAAAAACUGUGAUUAUAUUUGUGUGGUAUUAGUCAUAUCCUAUUUAUAUAGCAAUUGUUUGAUUAAAACCUUUUGUUGAGAACAUCCUGAAGACACCACAAAUGGUUUUCAAAAUAGGGAUGCAUCUAUUCUAGAAUGGCAAUACCUAUUUCGUGUUGCUAAUUUGUUCUUAGGUGAGUGGACAAGCAAAGUAUGAUAGACUAAUGAUGCAACUGAAACAGACAAUGCCAAAGUUGAUAUAGUUUUGCUUAGAAAGAGGCGCCCAUCAUAAAUUUGAUAUAUAUUCUUACCAAGAAUGUGUGCACAAUAAUUUGCAAGGGGAAAAUCAAUCCAAGUAUAAUAGGCUAAUGAUGCCCCCAAAAUCGACAACAAUAGAUUUUAUCAAGUUUUGCUUAAAAGAGGCCAUGAACCUAAUACAAGUACUUAGGAGUAUAUCUCAUUGAAGCACUCGGUCCUGCUGGUGCUUGGUUUUUUAGGUUUCACAUGAAUAUGCAUUAGUCACAUGUUUGCAUUAGUCACAUGUUUGCAUUAGUCACAUGUUCUUUCAUAUCUCGGUGAAACUAUUGUUCUGUUUGAUUGUUUAUCACAAUUUGUGGUUUGUUGUUGCUUUUCAUAUGAUGAUGGUUUGUGGGAUGCCGCUAAUAAUGAGUUUGUCAUAAAAUGGCCUAAUUGUUGUUAAGUGUCAUGUGUAUCCAUAAAUUUCUAGGUAGUUAUCAUCCAUUUACACUUUAUGCCUUGGAUAUGCACAUGGUUGUGUUUGUUUAUUAGGAAUGGUAGGCCGAGUAGGUGAUUGUGGCGUGACUGCGAAAAAUUGUACUUGAUACCCCAUAAAUAAUUCCAUCCCCCUAUUUUAACUUCACAAACAUGGCAUUUGCUUCGUGCAUGUGCUCUACUUCAUAUGGACUAAAAAGGUAAUAUUUUUCUUUUGAUGCCUGAUAAAAAGUAAGAAGGAAAAUACAUCACCCAUCCACAAGCUUAUUUAUAUUUUUAAACAUCGCAGUGUGAGAAAAAUAUUAAUCACUUGCUUCUUUAUCAGAAUCAGAUUUUAUGAAAGAAUAACCAAACAAGUAACUUUGGACACUUUCUCUUAGCUAAAUAUGUUUGUUUCUAGAUGUUAGAUGCCUUGGUUAGCAGCAUAACUAUUUCUAGAUUCUACAACAUGUGGUGGAAGCUAGUCAUAAGGUAGGGAUUAAUAAGUGCAACCAAGAAGUAAGCAUGGGUUUGGAAUUGCAAAAUAAGUUCUCAACGUGUCCAUGAAGACACGUCACAUGUUUAAAUACUCUUGUGUGCUAGCAAGGUCUGCAUAUUAGUUUGUUGUUUGUUUGCCGAGGGUAACAUAGGUUCUUUUAUGUGACAUAUAUUCCUUGAAAAAAUAAAAUAAAAUGAACAUAUAAAGUUUUUUCUUGACUUGACCAAUGAAAUAAUUUAUUUGUUGCACAUUUGUUUAUUCCAUGUUAUUUGAUCUUCUUAUAGAUCUUGUCCUUUGCAUAUGCAUAUUUCUUACUAUUCAACAAUUUCUCAUCUCAAAUUUUGUGUUUCUUCCUUAUUUUUAUUUCUCUAUUGGCUUCAAUGAUUAUGCAUAAAGUCUCAAUACUUCAAUAUUUGUAAGAUGGUUUCUUAUAUAUUUAACUUACUGUCAAGUAAGAGAUGUUUUUCAUGGUUAUGUAGAUUCAUUCAACCUACCUAAAUUUUUGAUUAGGAAAUUAUUCACCACUUACCCCCCUCCCCCAUUUUUUAUUUGCAUAAUUGUAACUCAAUGAUACCCUGAAUUUUUAAUUUAUGUAGACCACUACACUUACUAGAACCACACUGAUGAGCAUUGGAUGCUAAGGAAUUGUAUUAUUAAUUAGUGAUGUUUUUGUAUGAUAAAGUAUGUGUGGCUACCAGCCAUAUUCCCUUCAUAUCACAUAGUAUUCUUAGUUAUAACAACAACCAAAUUAUGGUAUGAUAUUUCAUAUUUAUUCUAUAGCUAACAAUGCAAAUUCACGCACAAGGUAUUAUCAUCCUUUUCAUGCUAUUAGUUAUUUCAAAAAUCUCUAGUUUUUUACCUCAACUUUAUAGACCCUCUUUGAAUUAUCCUUUUGUAGACUUUUUGUUUUGAAGUGUCAAACAUGUCUUGGAAAUCAUUUUUUGGCACUGGGCACAGUUUGCCUCCUCUCACCACCCAUCUAAUUGUAAGGGAUAAAAUAGUCUCUUAUAUGUGUCCAGGAUUCUUUCGCUAAUGUAUAUUUUCUACAAACAUUGGAAGAUCAAGGGCGAAGAGGGGAGGGGCGCAAUGCAUAUAAGGAGCCUACAUAUUAGUUUUUUUUAGGAAAAUAGUGACCACAAUCGUUGCAUGUGUGCAUAGGAUACUAACAUUUUUCUAGGUAGAUUCAUUGUAUUCUAUGAUUGCUUUGUUGUAUUUUUUAUGACGGAUAACAAUGUACAAAGUGCAUACUUGUUGGGUUCUUCCUAGUCAUUUUGUGUUGGGUGUCUUCUGAAUAUGCUCCAUUUGUAUUUUUUCCUAUUUUUGUUGCAUGCGGCAAUUAUUUAGUUGCUAAUAUGAUGUCUGCCCUUUUGGUAGGGACUACUAUUUCUAUUGAAGUCAGAUUGAUUCAAUGCCUACUCUUUUUUGUGUGAAAUGAAUUUAUCUCUGUGAUGUUACAACGAUGUUAUUUCAUAGAUAAAGGAAUUAUUGGCAUAUUGUGGAUUAUAUUUUAACCAAUACAAUCAAGUGUGGAAUGAUUAGAAAAAUUAUGUGGGAAGAUGUGCUUUUCAUUCAAGUUACCUAUAGAGAAAAUAAUUGACACUUGCUAAAAGUGAACAAGUUUAUGUCGUUUUGUGUGAGUCCUAAUCAUUUUGUUUCCAUGUCCAUAGGCAAAUUACAAUAAAAAGGUCAUGCUCAUCCGAACAUAAACUUUGUUCAAGUUAUAGACAUUAUGAUUAAAGUUCUAAGCUCAUUUAUGAGCAAAUGGAAUGACUGGAUUAUGCAAAUUGUAUCUGGAGAUAGAGUUGGAAUUUAGGUCAAUGAUGAGAUAGGACCAUAUGUGUGCACUUACCAGGGACUUAGAAAGGGGACCCCAUGCCCCCUUUGCUCUUAUGUAUGGCCUCCGGUGCAGUAGAAUUUCUGUUUGAUAGGGCAAUUACAAACUAACUUACUAAUUGAAUUGGUCCUCGCCUAGUGGGUGGUGGUUUGCAGAUGAUACUAUGUCACUACUACAUGAUAAUUUGGAGCAAGCUAGAAACCUUGAAUUUAUUCCGUGUCUUUUUGAACAAAUGUCAAGCCUGAAAACAUUUUUUCACACAAGUGAGGCCUAUUGUUUGUGCAAGGCACACAAAAUACAUAAAGCUUUGAGGAGAUAUUUACUUGUAAAUUUGGUAUACUUUGUAUUAACUACCUUCAGAUCCCAAUUGAAAGAAAGAGAGAAUUUGUAUAUGUGAUUGGAAUGAAAUUGUUGGGAGGAAUGAAGGUAGAUUGAGGAAUUGGCAAGGGAUACAACUCUAAGUGGGAGGCAUACAUUAAUUCUCCGCUGACAGGUAUACCAAUGUACAUCUUGCCUUUUUACAUAUUACCACAUAGUGUUGUUGAGAAAUGAUACCACCUUGUUAAUUUACCCCAGACUUGUUUUCCUAAAGAUUCUGGAGGGUUGAGUAUUCUUAACUUAGAUAUACUAUGAAUAUUUCCUCCCAUCCAAAUGUCUUUGGAAACUCUUCAAUGAAAGAGGUCCUUGGCAGGGAUUUUUGACUAAUAGAUAUUUAGCUUCUCAAAUGGUUACACAAGCAUCAACUCAAAAAAUGGACUCAAAUUUCUAGCAAUAACUAAUGGAAGUCAAAAUCCUUUUUCUAAAAUAUUGUAGGAUUCAAGUUUGAAAUGGGGAAAACCUAAAAUUUGGGAAGACACUUGGCCAGGAAGAACUAGCAUGACUGCUCUUUCCCUAGGCUUUUCUCUAUUUCAAUGGAACCUAAUAUUUAUAUUCAUGUAGUUUAUACAAAGCUAUGGUGGGUAACACUCUAUUGCAAGGGGAAAAUUUGAAGGAGAUGUGCGCUUGUUUAUCUCUAACUGAUGGUGAUUUUAUGCUUGCAUAUUUGUUGCCAUCCUGUAGUCAGAUUACUAAUAGGUCCUUGUAUUCCACCAUCUGAAAUUAUGAUGCAGUGCCUCAUAAAUUCCUAUGGCAAGUAAGGUACCUUCGUGGAUCUAAACUUUCUAUGCAUUGCUAUUACGAAAAAAGGUCCUACUCGUGACAUUCUAUUUAGAAGGGGGAGUGGUGAGAUGCUAAAUAUUUGUUUCGUGCUGAAAAUAACCUAUAGAUCAUCUCUUCCUUUCAUGCACACUUGCUAGAUACAUGUGGAAUAUUGUUGGGGUGUGCUCUGAGUGUUUCUUGUCAGUUUUCAAGUGUGGAGGGUUGUUUUAUAUCUUGGUUUCCUAGUUUCAUGGGUAAGAGAAAAAAAUUAUGACUGCUGGAGUGGCUGAUGUGAUUUGAAGCAUUUGGAAGGCCAAAAAAUGGCUUGUUAUUGUGGGUGAGAUGUUAUGUUUGGGCUUGUUGUUGGAUUAAUUAUUGGAGUUCAUUAUAGGUGAAGGCAGAUACAAAAUUGGACCUAUAGUGGAAUACAAGACUAAUGGCGCAAGUCACAACUCAAGUUUUGUAGGCGAGGGGUCGGUAAGCUUCGUGGAUCCCCAAGUUGGGGUGUUGUUCCUCAUCUUUUGUAGAUUGAUGGCUGAACUUGCUUCCGUUGCUCUGUUGCAAGUCUUUUCAUUCUUCUUUUCAAUAGCUAAAGCUCUUGCUUCUUAGGUGUAUCUGUACACUUACUAAGCUCCCUAGAAAAGGAGAUCUCUAGUUGCUAAGGGCUAUGAUGAGUGCUUUGGGUCAUGUUGUUAGCUGGUGGGAGGUUUUUCACUACUUGGGCCACCUCCCAGGUUAUACAUAUCGCCUUUGGUGGGGGAUAGAUCACAGAUGAGGGGAAAGGGGUGGUCAUAGGUGGCAUGCAUGGUGUCGUUUCCAUGCUUUGUUGAUGUGUGUCCCCGCUUGAGGGGUGCUCCUGCCAGCAAGCUCAUCGUGCUUUGGUUAAUGCUCCUUUCGUUGCCUUCUCAAUUUUGGUUUGCAUCUUUUAUUCUUGUUCAUUGGUUCUCUUUUUGUCAUGAAAUUGUUUUUGGUUUUGGUUUGAGACCAUAUCCUCCAUUGGAGGCAGUGAUGGGAGUGGGGGUUUAGGAUGAGAUACAUUUGGGGUGUUCUAGUGGGACAACAAUGACCCAGCAUCUCACCUUGUCGACCAUAGUCAGACUCAAUGAUGAGGAGCCACGACGACCCCAACUACAACUAAGCUCCACCACCCUAGUUCCCUUCUCCAGCUUCAAGAUGCCUAGAUGCAUCCCAAAGAGGAGUUGAAAAAAGGUGAGAUGUGAUCCUUGAUUUUCUUGCCUACCAUGGAGAGUGUAGGUUGCUGCUCUAGGGAUGGUAGGGCAUGUGAUAUGUGGCUUAUAUGAAGGACUAGUGGUAGCCCACCCUCAUAAUAGUGUGGUGGCAGAAGGAAGUUAGGAAUGACAUCCUGGUCCAGCUUGUUAAGCUGGAAUUAGUUCCACUAUUCAGAUUACACACAUAUUAUUGGAUUAAAUGUCUUCUACUAAAAAGGGAUUAAAUUUGGGAGAAGUGUGCUGGCAUUCAGACCGAUGUAUUGCGUAUUUUUUGCCACACUCACCAAUAACAUGUCUGUUGUAAUGCCUCGUUAAGAGAUAAUAAGACUGAUUUUCCCAAUCUACCUGGAUAUAUUUCUCUCUUUUUAUUUCCUCUAGAGGCUUGGUUGUUAGUUAGAAGAACUUGUGACUUAAGUACUCUAGAUAUAAUUCAAAAUCUAAAUGAUAUUUGGUAUAUGUUUCCCCUCUAUACGUUCAUGUGUGAAAUCUCCAACCAUACAUGUUCAGCCUUAGAUGUAAAGUCAUAUCCACCUCUAUCAACAACCUCUCCUAGAAAUAACCGUUGAGUCAGGUUGUUAAAUUAUAGUUGCAAUUCAGUGCUCCCUUUGCAUGAGGCAAAACUGGCAACAUCUAAUCACCACUAGCAAUGCCCUCUUCUCAACUUACUGAAUAUUGUUAUGAUGACAAUUGUGAAUUGGUAGUUAAUCUUUAUGGAAAGGUGGGACAGGGUGAUAUUAUUCUAAAAAUUAUUUGCAAAUAAAGAAUGUCUACUAUUGUUCUUGAAACCAGGUUACAAAUAUUAAUCUAGUAAUUAACAUGUUUAUUAUCGGCCCUCUUGAUAAAUUGCAUGCCACCUAUUUCAUUAACUGUACUUCCCAUUUGAGCAAUAAUUUUAGAAGAGUCAUUAGUUUGAUAAACUUUUGUCCCUUUAUAGGUAUAUUAUAUGACUUUGAUGACCUUGAUUUCUAAACUUGAAGUUGCAACCAUGUGUUUCAUAUUCUGCAAUUUGGAAUCUCAUGUAUAACUUCAAUUUCUUUUUAUGGCUCUCAUCAAUCCUUUAUAGCUCAAUAAGUUUAGAUACCUACACAAAUUAGUUAUGGCCAAAUUCCGUCAUCUACUUAAUGUUUGAGCUUGUCAUAUUUCAUCCACACAAAGAAUAAUCCAUAAGCUAAUAGUACCAUUUUUACUCGGUUUUCUAUGAUGCAGAAUAUACUAGACACAAUAUGAACAAAUUAUGAUUAAGUCUAUUACCUUUAUGAAUACAACCAUGUAUUUGUUACAUAAAAAAGCUUGGAAUAAAGAGAGCUUUCAUGGGGUUGUAUGCACUGCUAAUUACCAACCGCAUAUGCAAGAAUUCUAUCUACUACCAUAUUAUUUAUCAAUGUGCACAUGUAGGUAAAGGAUUUAUAUCUUUGUAAAAUGAUGUAACUUCAGGAUGGUUCUAGAUACUUUCGAAUAUGAAAAUAUUGUAACAUUGGUCUCUCAAUACAAAAAUUACAAAAAUGCUGCACCAACCCAAUAAUAUUUCCAUAGAUGGGUCGAUGAUUAUAGAAAGAACAAGAUCUUUUGUUUUGUGCGGGAUGGGGUUAUUAUCCACGGAGAUAAAGAACUGUUGGACUAUGCUACCAAAUUCUAUAAAGAGUUUUUUGGUCUUGUAGAUCUUUUACCUAUUUCUCCAAGUAUUCAUGUUCCUACUUGUUUAGAUAUUAAAGGCAAUAAUGUGUUGACUCCCAGAUUCGCCUUGGAAGAUAUCAAACUUGUCGUCUUCUCUAUGAAACAUAACUGAGUGACUGGCCCCGAUGGAAUGCCCAUUGAGUUUUACUAAUUCAUUUGGGAUUUAAUUUGUCGUGAUUUAGUCCAACUAUUUAGUGACUUCUUUGAUGGCAAACUAGGCCUCUAUAGGCUAAACUAUGGUGUAGUUACUUUGAUUGCCAAAGGCCAGGGGGCUGGUUAGAUUCAUAUGUGUAGGCCUAUUUUGCAUGCUUUAUGUCCCUUUUGAGAUUUUUACCAAGGUUUUGAACACUAGAGUUAUGCUAGUUGCUUACAAGCUAGUGUCCAAGAUACAAGCAACUUUUAUUAAAGGUCGCUACUUACUGGAUAAUGUAGUAAUGUUGCAUGAGACCACACUAUAAUCAUAAGAGCAAGCUUCCUGGCAUGCUUUUCAAAGUCAAUUUUGAGAAAACUUACGAUAAAAAUAACUAGGACUUUAUGCUUUUUGUGUUAGAGAUGAAAGGAUUCCUUGAAAAGUUUAUUCAGUGGACCAAGUCAACUAUUGUUGAUGAUAAAGUGGCUAUUACUUCAAAUGAUAUGUUGGGUAAUUAUUUUACUACUAGAAAGGGUCUUAGGUACGGAGAUCCCUUCCCCCACAGUGUUUAUAUAGUUGUUGAUGUCCUUGUGACCCUAGUUAUAAGGGCUCAGGAGAAAGGGUUUAUAAAAGGUCUAGCACCUUAGAUUUAUGAAGGUUGCCUUUCUAUUUUACAAUAUGCCGACAACAUGAUCUUUUGUUUUGGGGACGACUUAGAAGGAGUUAGGAAUCCUAAAAUAAUUCGUUGUGUUUUUUGAGCAUUUAACUAGUCUUAAAUUUUUUAUCUUUAAAAUUUUGGUUUACUUCUUUGGUGAGGCGGAACUAAAACAUAAGGAUUAUGCUAAGAUCUUUACUUGCGCAUUAGAAACUUUCCUUUUCAUUACCUAAGUAUGCCUCUACACUACAAGAAACUUGGUAAUAGCGAUUGGAAAUAGUUGAGGAGAAAUGUGAGAAGAAAGCAGCUACCUAGUAGGAGAGAUUUCUUCCUAUGGGGAUAGGCUCAUUCUAACUGUGGCUUUCUCGAGUAGUGUCCCUGGUCAUAUGCUUUCCUUUUUUAGAUUGCCUAAAGGUGUUGGUAAACAUUUUGAUUUUAGCCCAUUUGGUCCAGCAAGAAAAAGGGGGGGGGGGGUUACUAAUCAAGAAGUUAAAAAUGUUAGUCUUCUUUACAAGUGGCUCUGGAUACAAGAAAAUGAGGAGAGUGUUGACAUGAGAUGGUUAGGGCAAAGUAUCUGAAGAAGAAAACUUUGCCUCAAUGUGAAUAAUAUCCUGGCAACUCUCACUUCUGGAAUGGCUUAAUGGAAGUUAAGAAUAUCUUUUAUUGUUGUUGUCAGAGAGUUGUGGGGGAUGGUCGUAGAACUAGAAUUUGGCAAGAUGCGUGGAUAAAGGAUAAACUGAUUUGUUUGAUUUUUCGUCAUCUUUAGAGCUUAACAUUUUGUAACAUGUUACCAUUUCAAAAGUAUUUACCUUGGAUUUUAAUUGCAUUGGUUCAAAAGAUGUUUACAUGGGGAGAAUCUUGAUAUGUGGAAUAACUUACUUGAUAUGUGUGGUUGGCUGAUUCUGUCGGAUAAGCCCGACAAAGUUAAAUGGUUACUUACAACCUUCGGUAACUUUUCUGUUAUCUCUUUAUCAUUAUCUUAUUGCUAGACAAGAUGCUUUAUCUUCUAAAAAUAUGUGGAGGAUGAAGCUGCCUCUUAAAGUUGAGGCCUUCUCUUGGUUAGUAAUAAAAAUAGGAUUCUAACCAAGGACAAUUUCAUCAAAAAAGGCUGGAAAUGUGCUAAGUUUUGUGACUGAAGGAAGUGUGAAUCAUUUAUUUUUCUCUUGCUCCUUAUCUAAUUUUUGGUAGAAUAUUGUGGGAUGCCCUCUGGGGAAUCAGAGAUCUCCAAUGUCUUUUUUUGACCUCUGCAAGAACUGGUUGUCUAGCUAUACUAGCAAAGAUAGGGUAGUUAUUUUAUUGGUGUUGCUGCUCUGUUGUGGUCUAUAUGGAAAACAAGGAACAAAUCAUGUUUUCAAAGUGUUAUGCCCAGAGAUCCUACUGACACUAUUUUUCUUGUUUGUUCACUGCUAGACUCUUGAAAAAAUCUGCAGAAAAGAGGGGCACAAAAUAUGCUUCAUCAGGUGUCUAGACAUGGUGACUCGUGAUGUCUUCAGAGGUGGGCAUGGUUUUGGCCCCACAUGUGAGGAGGAUUUUAUGAAGCCAACCACUGAAAUGCUUGCUGGCCUUGAAGCCUUUCUGCUAAUUUCGAUGUCGUGCCUUUAAACUGUGAUACUUUUAUGGUUUGUUGAGUGGUUGUUGAUACUUGUAGCUAGUGUGGUUGGAUGUAAGUCCUAUUUGCUAGUGUUUGCUGUUCUUGAUACAUCAAGUUCCUUUUUAGUUAGUUUUGCCUAGAUCAGAGCAUCCUGGUAUGGUAAUAUAGAUUAGUGGUGUAACGGUUAAAUUUGCUAGGUUGAAGCAUCAUGAUGUGGUUAUAGAAUAGUGACGUAUGGUUGGUUAGUUGCGCUGUAAACAACUCCAUUUUCAUAAUAAAAAUAGGGGUUGUGUGGCCCUUCGAUCAAAAAACUGAUCUACCACCCUCUUAGACUGAUUCAUCAUUUUAUGUAAAAGCUUUGACAUAAUAGAUCAUGAUAUCUAGG
rnacentral:lncRNA from 1 species